CAGUCGCCGCGGGAAUACGGAGGGGGCUAGCGUUGCUUGGAAUGACUGGGCGUAAAGGGCGUGUAGGCGGCGGCCAAAGUCAGGCGUGAAAUUCCCGGGCUCAACCUGGGGGCUGCGUUUGAUACUUGGUUGCUUGAGUGGGGAAGAGGGUCGUGGAAUUCCCAGUGUAGAGGUGAAAUUCGUAGAUAUUGGGAAGAACACCGGUGGCGAAGGCGGCGACCUGGUCCUUUACUGACGCUGAGGCGCGAAAGCGUGGGGAGCAAACAGGAUUAGAUACCCCAGUAGUCCCUGUCUCUUAUAC
rnacentral:rRNA from 1 species